rnacentral:rRNA from 1 species
AUUGAACGCUGGCGGCAGGCCUAACACAUGCAAGUCGAGCGAGCGGCGGACGGGUGAGUAAUGUAUGGGGAUCUGCCCGAUAGAGGGGGAUAACUACUGGAAACGGUAGCUAAUACCGCGUACCAUAGGAUGAGCCCAAGUGGGAUUAUCUAGUUGGUGAGGUAAUGGCUCACCAAGGCGACGAUCCCUAGCUGGUCUGAGAGGAUGGUCAGCCACACUGGUACUGAGACACGGCCCAGCCUCCUACGGGAGGCAGCAGUGGGGAAUAUUGCACAAUGGGCGCAAGCCUGAUGCAGCCAUGCCGCGUGUAUGAAGAAGGCCUUAGGGUUGUAAAGGACUUGCAGCGGGGAGGCGUUACCCGCAGAAGAAGCACCGGCUAACGCCGUGCCAGCAGCCGCGGUAAUUC